GGCAUGUGGAGGUUCCCAGCUAGGGGUCUAAUCAGAGCUGUAGCCACUGGCCUAUGCCAGAGGCAGAGCAACAUGAGAUCUGAGCUGCGUCUGCAACCUACACCACAGCUCACGGCAACGCCGGAUCGGUAACCCACUAAGGGAGGCCAUGGAUCAAACCUACAACCUCAUGGUUCCUAGUCAGAUUCGUUAACCACUGCGCCACCAAGGGAACUCUGGAUUUUUUUUUUUUAAACAACUCUCCUAUCUUGCUAUGAAGGCUUGCUAUGAAGUGGGCUAUGAUAAUGCCACUGUGUGUAAGUCUAACAAGCAUCUGCUCACUUGCCUAUUUACUAUUAAUUCUGAAGUGUGUGUUGGGGUAAAGGGAUUGGUCUCUGGGAAGCAUAUUUUUUUCUUUUUCUUUUGAAAUAAUUUCAGAUUUCUAGAAGAGUCACAAAGAUGAUACAGAAUGUUCCUGUAUAUAUUCCCCUCAACGUCUUCUAAUGUUCACAUCUUACAUAACUGGUACAUUUAUGAAAACUAAGAUCUUAGAUUGAUAUAACACUAUUAACUAAACUACAGACUUUGAGUUUCCUCAGUUUUUCCACAAACCUACUUUUUUUGCUCCAGGGUCCAAUUCAGAUCACUCAUUGGAUUUAGAGUGUAGUUUUGUUUUUUGUUUAUUUUUUAAUGAAAAGAACAUAAUGUAUUCCUGGAAAACUGCUGCUUCUCAGAUGAUGACAAUGAACAGAAUUUUCUAAGUGGAUGUUAUCUGAAUUAGCAUCACUGAGCUAAAAUUUUCCCUUAUUUCUGCUUAAAGUAGAAAGUGGAAUCAACACUCUCCAAGGCAAAAUCAGCUAUAAUGGUACAUAUUUUCUAAAUCUUGGGGGAAAAAAUGGCCUAAGGAUGACUUUUGUCUUGACUCUCAGCCUAAGCCAUCCUCAUUUCAUAGUUUUUCUAUAAAUGAUGAAUGCUAAUGGAAUGAACCCAAGGUACAGUCCCAAAUUGGCGUUUCAUAUUUAGGGCAAGCUGAAUGGUUCUUUUCCAAUUCUGCUUGACAAAUACAACAUGAACACAAAGAGGCAUGGAAAAGCUGUAAUCUAUUGAACCUGGUAAAUGUGAGUUGUAAGUAAUUGCAGUUCCUUCUUAGUCUCAUUUGCUGCACAACCAUUUCUCAUUAUAUGAUCCCUUAAAGUCAACCUGAUUCAGGAGCAGAUCAAUACCAGGGAAACCCUUUUGUCUUCUUUUAGGGCAUAAAAUUUAAAAGAUGCUUAAGUCAAUAUUCCUUUUAAUAAUGUGUCUUACGGAAAUGCCUGGGUUCCCCCUUCUUGUUAUAUAAUUAAUUGAGUUGCCUGCCACCCACAAGGUAUAGUCAUUCCUUCCCAUAAUUCUCCUUUGGCCUAAUUGCCAUUCUGUUUUCAGUUCUGUCUUUAGAUAUUUCUUUUUUUCCCAACAGUGUUGGGUGUGCUUUGUACUUAGUUUUAUCUUUCUGUGCUUUUGCUUCUAAAUGUCAGCAUAAUUUUUCUGCCUUAUAAUAUUGGAGAUGUUAUAAUCAUCCAUCAGCCCAAUAGAAGAGCAGAAAAGAUUAGAUAUCAUUUAUCUGUAUUGGUUGUUCAUUGUAAUGACCCAGUGGACAACAUGAACAGAUAAUCUGUUGCUUUGAUGGAAACUAAUUAUUCUUAAGCAUGACAGCAUCGAAAUAGCUUUUGUGACACUGUUUUUAAAAAUGACAGCUACCCCAGUCAUUAUUAGUGCAAGCAGAAGUUCAGUGGUGUUCUCCGAUGAUUUCCCUAUAUAAGUGACAAAACCGUUUGGAUCUUUUAUUACUGCUUUAUGGGAAAAUCGAACUAAAAUGUAAAAACUUUAAAAUUUCAAGUGACACUCAAAUAUAAGGGCUAGCCAAUAAAAAUUACUUAAUGUGAAAUAAUCUACUAUUCCCUAGAGAAAAGUUAAAGUGCAAUUAGAAGAUAACUUUGCUAGAAAGGGUUAAUGCAGCUUGGUUUUUAUUUUGCUGCUGGAGAUUGUACUAACCAUGGAGUUUGGGGAAUGAAGUUACCAUUAAGUAAAAUUCAUUUCUGGUGGUUCUAUGGUUAAUUCUUAAAAUAACACAAUUUAUCUGCACAAAUAGGAGAGAAAGUUUUAUUUUAUGUGUACUUAUGUGCAAACCUUUAAAAAAACCCAGUAUCCUGAUGGAUUUCUAUGUUUAUGUAGUUUCUAAAAUCUAUAGAAACUUGAUAUUCUAAGAUAGUUUUUAUAUUACUGGUGCCACUAAUAACCAAAUCAGGAUUUGCAUAUUAUUACUGGGCUAUAGCAGAGAUACACUUUCACUACAGUGUGCCUUGGCUUGAGAACAGAAACAAAGUAAAUAACUUCAUAGACUAAAUGUUUCCCUUUUUAAAAUACGUUUUGUUUUGGGGAUGUUUUAGAUGAUGAUAGAUCAUGACUAAUAUACUGAAAUACAUAAACCAAGUUUAUAAUUAUACAAGUUAUAUUUAUUAUUAAAAAGUUACCACUGUAAUAACAUCUGAAGAAUGCUAAAGUAGAAUAAAAAAUAAAAAAGUCCUUAAAAAAAAGAGUCCUUCUAUCUUCUACUUAUUCUAGUUUUCAAAAUCUCAUUCAUUUCUCAGAGAGUUGCUAACAAUUUGGUGCCUGUCUUUCCAGGCUUUCCCCCAUGUAUUUAUGUACAAGUAUGUACACACACACACACACACACACUCCUCUGAGGAGGAUUGUGUUAAUGGUAUUAUAUAGAUUGUCCUACAACUUGUUUUUUUCACUUGGAAAUAUCUUUUGAAUAUUUUUCCCUAUAUGUAUAUAUGGCUCUUCUCUUUAAAAAAAUGGUCCUUUUGUUUUUUGCUUUUUAGGGCCGCACCCAUGCCAUAUGGAGGUUCCCAGGCUAGGAGUCGAGCUAGGCUUCCAGCUACAGCUUCUGGUCUACACUACAGCCACAACAAUGCAGGAUCCAAGCCGCAUCUGUGACCUACACCACAGUUCAUGGCAAGGCCAGAUCCUUAACCCACUGAGCGAGGCCAGGGAUUGAACCUACAACCUCAU
rnacentral:lncRNA from 1 species